UCAAUUUUCUUAACGUACAGUGUAUUGUUAGUUGCAGGGGCAGAGCUCAGUGCUUCGUCUGUUGCGUAUGAACCCGGGGCUCAUCCCAUCACCUUCCCUCCUUCAUGCCCAUUGCCCAGUCACCCCGUCUGCUCACCCACCUCUCCUCCAGCAACCGAGAGGUCGUAUCGUUGAGCUGGGUCUGGAAGAGACGUUGGCUCCAUGCCCAGCAGCUGCGGGACACUUGAUCCUCCGGGAGGGACGGAGGACGUACGUUCAUUGUCCCCUUGUGCGUUCUCCGCGCUUAGCUGUCGGGGGGCUUUCAAUACAGACAAGUCUAAUUGUCAAGAUGAAGACGUUAAACCCUUCUGUGCGCGCAAACCCUUGGAGAGGAAUGGGGGUUGGUAAAGGAAAUCUUUCUAAUAACUCAGACUGCCCCCCCCCCAGCCGUCUCCAUGGAAACGGAGGCCUUGCCUGAGCUAGCCACGCUCCUGGAAGCAGAGUAGAGACAUUAAAGCUCUUCUCCAUCGCGGUGUCCGUGGAAAGCAGGACUUCUCUACCUCAAAUAGUUUCUUCAUUUUAACACUGGAUGCGCUGGACACAUUUUUCUUAUGUCUCCCCCAAAGAAAUAAAGAUUUUGAUUUCUGACUGACUGUAUUUGAU
rnacentral:lncRNA from 12 species